AUGUAUCACAUUGCCCUUAUCUCUUCAUCCACUGACAGACACUUAGAUUGUUUCCAUGUCUUGGUUACUGUGAAUAAUGCUGCCCUGAACAUGAGAGGACGAAUAUCUCCUUGGGGUCCCAUUUUCAUUUUCUUUGAGUCUAUACCCAAAACUGGGAUUGCUGGGUCACAUGGAAGUUUCAAUUUUUUGAGGAACCCCUAUACUGUUUUCUGCAGGGGCUAUACUAAUUUACAUUCCCAUCUGGUCCAUUCAGUCAUGAGAACUUUCCAGUUUCAGCUAUUAAAAUAUCCAGCUCAGCUGACCAACACAUAUUCAGAACUCUUACUCCACUGGGAACAUCUCCUUCCCUCUGUGCUACUCAGACUGGGAAACCCGAGGAGGAGCAGGCUGCGGCAUCCCAUUACUUGGUUCCCACACACUUUGGGAGAUGGAGGACAAGCCAACCAUCCCAAAACCACCUUGCAAGUCCUGUGUAUGCAGACUGGAUUCAACUUCACUUUGGAACAGAGGAUACUUGACACCUUUUUUCCUGCGACUCUAGAGGCCCGAGCCAUGACUGAGGUUCAUUUAAUCUGAUAGAUGGUGUAAACCGCCAAGUAACGCCGCUGGAAUCUCACGAAGAUGUGUAAUGCUGAGGCACCUGGGUGGCUCGGUUGGCGAAGCGUCUGCUUUUGGCUCAGGUCAGGAUCUCAGGGUCCUGGGAUCAAGCCCCACAAGGGGAGCCUGCUUCUCCCUCUGCCUCAGCCGCUCCCCCUGCUUGUGCUCUCUUUCUCUCUCAAAUAAAUAAAUAAAUAAAAC
rnacentral:lncRNA from 1 species